rnacentral:rRNA from 1 species
UACGGAGGGUGCUAGCGUUGUUCGGAAUUACUGGGCGUAAAGGGCGCGUAGGCGGCCCUGUCAGUCGGGUGUGAAAGCCCGGGGCUCAACCCCGGAACGGCACCCGAGACGGCAGGGCUGGAGACCGGGAGAGGAGGGUGGAAUAGCCAGUGUAGAGGUGAAAUUCGUAGAUAUUGGCUGGAACACCGGUGGCGAAAGCGGCUCUCUGGCCCGGUUCUGACGCUGAGGCGCGAAAGCGUGGGGAGCAAACAGG